GCCGGAUCAAACAAAAAAGACACUAAAAGUCACCCAAACUACAACACACUGGGACUUUGUCCCUCAACAACCACGGAUAGUGACUUCUGUUAUAAGGGUCACUUCAACACCUGUAGUAUUAGUAACUGCUACAGUUGGAGCAAACCCCGUGAGCACAAUGGUCUCUAUCUUCAGCCAGUUUGUUACUGUCACGGACACUGUUAAAUACUGGCAGACAAUAACUCAUGUUGACGUCACGCACCAGAUUCAAACUGUUCCUGUUGUGACUACCCAAGAUUUGUUGCAAGAGAUCGUAACUACUGUAACCCAGAUUGUUACUACUACUGUCACCUCCACAACUGCCCGUUACUACGGUUAACUUCAGUGACUCCCCUGCUGACUUUAUUUACUAUUUAAAUUCUUGAAUUAAUAUCGGCUGUAAACAUUAAAGUUUAAGUCCUAGAAA